AAAACUUUCAACAACGGAUCUCUUGGUUCUGGCAUCGAUGAAGAACGCAGCGAAAUGCGAUAAGUAAUGUGAAUUGCAGAAUUCAGUGAAUCAUCGAAUCUUUGAACGCACAUUGCGCCCUCUGGUAUCCCGGGGGGCAUGCCUGUUCGAGCGUCAUCAA
rnacentral:rRNA from 1 species